AAUAUGUGUAUAUUAUAAUUAAUUGAUAUAUAAUUAUUAGAUGUUAUUGUUUAUAAAGAAGUUAAUAAGGAUAACUAGCUAGUACAUGUGUGGAGGUAUAUAACCUAAUUCAUGAUUAUACAAAUGUUAUCAUGUGAAUCCAAGAAGGAAACUUUAUAGUUUUUAACGAAGUGAACUGAAACAUCUUAGUAACUUUAGGAAAAUAAAUCAACCGAGAUUUUGUAAGUAGCGGCGAGCUAAAGCAAAAAAGCCUAUACAGUUAUUUAUUAAUUAUUUAUCUAAUAAGGAAAUGAAUAUAAAUAAUAUUUAUUGAAUUAUUAGAAUCUUAUAAUAAAUAUUAUUCUAUAAGAUUUAAAUCCAUUUUAAAAAGUUGGAAACCUUUGGUAUUUAUUACAGUAGAAGCGAAAGAUGGUGAAAGCCCAUGAAGUAAUGGAGGUAACUGUUAAGUGAGUAAAAUGAGGGCAAUCUUAUUUGAAAAUAGGGGAACUAUCCUCUAAGGCUAAAUAUGGUGUACUAAGCGAUAGUGAAGAGUACCGUGAGGGAAAGUUGAAAAGAAUAUAAUAAUGUGGAAUGUGAAUAUAUCUACAUUGUUAGUAAAGUGAAAUAGAUCUUGAAUUAUUAACUUUAUAAGCAGCCGAAGGAAUGAAUAGAAUUCUGACGGCGUACCUUUUGCAUAAUGGGUCAGUAAGUUAGUAUUAAAUGUAAGUAGAGAUACCUAAAGAAAUUGAUUCUAUAAGGAGUAAUCAAUAUUUAGUACUAGACCCGAAACCUAGUGAUCUUGCCAUGAUCAGAUGAAAGAUCGAACCGGUGUGCGUCGCAAAGUACUCGGAUGAAUUGUGGUAAGUAGUGAAAUACAAAUCGGACUAGGAUAUAGCUGGUUUUCUGCGAAAUCUAUUUAGGUAGAUAGCUUAAUAAGGAUGUUUAUUAGUGGGUAUAGCACUGAAUAUCUAAUAUUAUUUGAAGGGAGUAUGAAAGUACUUACUUUGGAUAUUUAAUCUCAGAAUAACUAAUAGAUGAAAGAUGAUUAAGUUGUCAGACUUUUUGCGAUAAGGUGGGAAGUCAAGAGGGAAACAGCCCAGAAUAAUUUAUAAAGUUCUAAAAUUGUUACUGAGUGAAUUAAAAGAAGUUUUACUUCAUAGACAGUCAAGAAGUGGGCUUGGAAACAGCCAUCUUAUAAUAAACACGUAAAAGUGUAAUGAUCGAAAGGAGUAUAGCGCUUAAAAUAUACGGAUCUAAGUAACAUACUGAAUGAUUAUUAUGUUAUUAUUAACAAUGUUCAAUAUAUAUUAUUAUAUUAGUGUAAUAACUAUUGUAGUAAUGGGAUAGAAAGUGGUAAAUAAUGUAAUGUAUUGUUAUGUUAUAUAUAACAUGUAUUAUAAUUAUUGAAAGUUAAUGAUAAGAUGGGUAGCAGAACAUUUAGUAAAUAGAUGAAGAACAGUAUUUUAUUGUUUGGAUAUAACUAAAGAGAGAAUGCUGACAUGAGUAACGUUAAAGUAGGUGUGAAUCCUACUCGCUGAAAACGGAAGGUUUUUAUGGUUAAGCUUAACUACCAUAAGUUAUCGCGGUCUCUAACUGUAUCUCUAACGAGUAAGGGAUGAGAGAAAUAUAAGUGAGGUUGUUGAUGAUUAUAAUAAUUAUUAUGGUCAAAUAAUAAUCCAGGAAAAGUUAUAUUUUUGAACCGUACUAAAACCGACACAGGUCUGUGGAUAUUAGAGUAUUAAAGCGUAUAAGAGAAUUAUUGCGAAGGAACUCGGCAAAAUAAUUUCGUAAUUUCGAGACAAGAAGUACCUUUGAAAGGGGGUGUCACUUAAAAAUGUUGUACAACUGUUUACUUAAAACACAGUACUUUGCAAAGAUGAAAGUCUUAGUAUAAAGUAUGAGAUCUGCCCGAUGCUAGGGGAUGAAAGGUUUGUUUUGGAUGUCAAAAAUCUAAGAUGGACACAAGUUCUAGUGAAUGGCGGCCUUAACUAUAAGGGUCCUAAGGUAGCGAAAUUCCUUGGCCGUUAAAUGCGGUCCCGCAUGAAUGAUUUAAUGAUACAACAACUGUCUCCGCAAUAAACUUAGUGAAAUUGGAAUAGCCGUGCAGAUACGGUUUAUGUGUAGAAAGACGGGAAGACCCUAUGCAGCUUUACUGUAGUUAAUUAUUGUUAUUAAUUCUUCAUUUUGUAGUAAUAGAAGGUAGUCGAUGAGACGGUAAUGAAAGACCUUUAAAUGGAUUUGCGAUAACUUACUGAAUGAAUCAGGACAUUGAUUAACAGACAGUUUAUGUGGGGCGCAUGUCUCAAAAAAAGUAUCUGAGAUGUCCGAAGGUAAAGUCAAAUUGGAUGGUAACCAAUCAAGUAUGUUUAUCAUUGUCCUUGUCCUAGGCGAGAUAGAUAAUGAAUUCUUGGAAAAAGUAUAAUGGCAUAACUUUGCUUAACAGUGAGAUUGACAAAUCGAUCUGACACGUCAGUGGGGCAUAAUGAUCCUCGUAUUCAAAAUGGAAUGGUACGAGAACAACGAAUCAAAGCUACGCUAGGGAUAACAGGGUUAUUUCGUGUGAGAGAUCCUAUUGACCACGAAGUUUGCCACCUCGAUGUCGACUCAACCUAUCCUCCAAGAGCAAAAGAUUGGAAGGGUUUGGCUGUUCGCCAAUUAAAAGGUUACGUGAGUUGGGUUAAAAACGUUGUGAAACAGUUUGGUUCCUAUCUUCUAUACAUAGUAAAAGUUAAGGAAGAGCACAUUUUUAGUACGCAAGGAUCAAAAUGUUUUAAUCUCUGGUUUAAUUGUUGUAAAUCCGGAAUUAUUUUAAGGAGUUGUGAAUUAAGAAAUUCAUGGAUUGCAUGGCAAUCAAGCUAAAUUGAAAAAGAAUAAAAUUUGAAAGCAUCUUAAAAUUGAAGUCUUUCUUCUAAAACUUUAUUAUUGUCGUUAUAGAUUAUAACGUGAAUAGGCUUUAGCUGUAAGAAUAGUAAUAUUUGAAGGUGUAAAGUACUAAUUUGUAAUGAUACUGUAAUAUACUCUU
rnacentral:rRNA from 1 species